CCUACGGGUGGCAGCAGUCGAGAAUCAUUCACAAUGGGGGAAACCCUGAUGGGGCGACGCCGCGUGGGGGAAUGAAGGUCUGCGGAUUGUAAACCCCUGUCAUGUGGGAGCAAAUUAAAAAGAUAGUACCACAAGAGGAAGAGACGGCUAACUCUGUGCCAGCAGCCGCGGUAAUACAGAGGUCUCAAGCGUUGUUCGGAAUCACUGGGCGUAAAGCGUGCGUAGGCUGUUUCGUAAGUCGUGUGUGAAAGGCGCGGGCUCAACCCGCGGACGGCACCUGAUACUGCGAGACUAGAGUAAUGGAGGGGGAACCGGAAUUCUCGGUGUAGCAGUGAAAUGCGUAGAUAUCGAGAGGAACACUCGUGGCGAAGGCGGGUUCCUGGACAUUAACUGACGCUGAGGCACGAAGGCCAGGGGAGCGAAAAGGAUUAGAUACCCCAGUAGUC
rnacentral:rRNA from 1 species